CAUACACUAAAUCGUUGAUAUUAUUCUGUUCUGAUUAUAUGAAUAGUUACUAUUCGAGUAAUCGUUCUUAAAUCUUCAAGUUUUUAGCUAAUUUUUCAACUUUUCAUGCGUCUUUGCUAGAAAUGAUAAAAAAAUAUUUUUGUAAGAUACACGUAAUAAUCCUGAAAUCCAAACUCGUGAUGCAACUGAGUGUGGCGUGUGUCUUCACUCAACGAAGCAAAAAUAAAAAAUGGCGAGCGUGUGGUUGAAGUGAGCAGAAGCUCGCAUGUAAAAAUGGCAGAUAUUUUCAGCCGAAAUCUCGGAAACGUUCGGAAACAUAUACAUCUUCUGGUAGCGGUGAAAUCGUCGAGGAGGAAGUCAAAAAAUACGUCCGGCCUAGUUCCUCAGCCACGAUUGCGACCACCAGACACCAGCCGCUACCGACCGUACCGCCAUCAGCGGCAACAGCAGCACCACCAAACGGUUCCCUUGGAUUAUAACCCGCUUUCCGCUGGAAGAGCAGAAGCAGGAUGUUAAUUUUUCUUCUCCCACGGCACAAGAGCACUCGGCAACAGACUGGGCACAGCGGUCACAAGUGGUCAGGGACGAUAUGCUGGAGUCUCAAGUGUUCGCCGAAACAAAUCAUAACAGAACACAAAUAGAAUGUGUACUUUUUUGCUGUGAUUUCGUGUCCCGAACCAAACGGCACCAGUUUCUUCCAAUUGUAAAAUAAGCUCCGGCAAAAAAAAGUGCCAGUGCCAAAAUGAAUACCAACACUUCCGGCACGCUGUCGAACGGGCCAGCGGAAACGACGAAAAAUUCUGCGGUUGAAAUCGCUCAAAAACAGAAAGCUCUGCAGGCACGUCUUCAACUGCCAUCAUUGUCAACGGAUUCCCGGACAAGUGAUUCGGAACCGUGUGAGCCACUUGCAGAAAUUCAGGAACGGAAGAAUCUUUUUCCAGAAAUAACUAUCCCACUGGCUAAAAGCAGAAACAACAGGAAGGUGGUGAACAUUCUUGAACUGCUAAGUAAGAGCACAAUUGAUCGUGAACCCAAUGCCAAAGGUUUCUGCAGAACCACUGCCAAAGCCCAGUAAAAUUUGCCCAUCGGUUGGAGCCAGUGGUCAGGAAGCCAGUAAACUUUACUGGGAGCAUUCACACUUGCCUUGGUUGAAGGAAAAUUUUUAUUGUUAAGUUUCUCGAGAAUAAUUUCUUUUAUGCGACUUCUAAACGAGGAAUCGUGAUACGGAAAUUCUAGAGAGAGUAAACCUAGAUUGGUGAUUCGAAUGGUAAUGGCGGUUCAAAAUGAAAGCAUUCUUGACUUGGAUCGGGACUAAAAACCGUUGAUGGAAUGCCCAAAGGAAGAACAGACAGCUGAAGGCGGAACAUGCAAAUAUUGCCUAACAACAAUAUUUAAGCUUCCCACCAUCAAUCGAUUCAUAAUGUCACCAGGUGCACCACUAUCACCAUGGCAUCAUCAACAGCAGCAACAGUAGAUCUCUGGCGGAUGGAGAAUGUUCAACAUUCUGGGUCAUCUGGUAGAAUCGAACACGACGAAACAGCGACCAUCAGUAAUGAAAUUUAUUUAAAACUCUGGAUACUCCGUAACAAACGCCGAUGAACGAAGCGAAACCACUGCCAGGAGUGUACAAUAGUCAUCAAACGCAGCAAGAAAUCUACUUCCAACUGAAUCGAGAAGUUGGGCAAUUGACAACAGGAGCCGAAAACCAUUCCAUCGAUACAGCGGGAAUACUACCUUGGCAUUAUUUACUGGAACUGUUUCUAUAGGAUCCGAAACUGUAUUGUAGUUUUGAAAAUUCAGUAGCUUUCUCUGCUCGAAUGCUGCCUUGACUAUUCUGGGCAUUCCGGGUGGGAAUAGUACUCCGAUGAGUCUCAGAAAAGCAAGCUGAAGAAUCACUAUAAAAUUUAUCAAUUUUAGACAAGCUGCUGGAAGAUUUUAGUUAUUCACUAAGGAUCUGAAUUAAUGACGAUAUUUUUUUUCAAUUCAGGUUUUUUUAAUUCUAAAAUUUAUAAUUUAUUGUAUACAUUUUCUGUAAACAAAUUAAAAUUGAAACAAUAGUUCAAUAAACAAUAUUAUCUCUACAUGAA